GAUGAACGCUGGCGGCGUGCCUCAAACAUGCAAGUCGAGCGGGGCUAUGUAAUAUCGCAAGGUAGAACAUAGCCUAGCGGCGAACGGGUGAGUAACACGUGGGUAACCUGCCUGGAAGACAGGGAUAACGAUUCGAAAGGGUCGCUAAUACCUGAUAAUAUCCUUUCAUCGCAUGGUGAUAGGAAGAAAGGGGAAACCCGCUUUCAGAUGGGCCCGCGUCCCAUCAGCUAGUUGGUAAGGUAAAGGCUUACCAAGGCGACGACGGGUAGCCGGUCUGAGAGGAUGUACGGCCACACUGGGACUGAGAUACCGGCCCAGACUCCUACGGGAGGCAGCAGUUGGGAAUCUUAGGCAAUGGACGAAAGUCUGACCUAGCGACGCCGCGUGAGGGAAGAAGGCCUUCGGGUUGUAAGCCUCUGUCAUGGGGGAAGAAGUAAGUGACGGUACCCCAAGAGGAAGCCCCUGCUAACUACGUG
rnacentral:rRNA from 1 species